UAAUAGCUAGUAUAGGUACUGACCUUGCAAACCCAGUCAGGUUUGAAAAAAAGCAGCUGUAGCAAGUGCUCAGUAGGUUAUGCUAGCAGUUUUUA
rnacentral:SRP_RNA from 1 species